AGUGAACGCUGGCGGUAGGCCUAACACAUGCAAGUCGAACGGCAGCACAGUAAGAGCUUGCUCUUACGGGUGGCGAGUGGCGGACGGGUGAGGAAUACAUCGGAAUCUACUUUUUCGUGGGGGAUAACGUAGGGAAACUUACGCUAAUACCGCAUACGACCUACGGGUGAAAGCAGGGGAUCUUCGGACCUUGCGCGAUUGAAUGAGCCGAUGUCGGAUUAGCUAGUUGGCGGGGUAAAGGCCCACCAAGGCGACGAUCCGUAGCUGGUCUGAGAGGAUGAGCAGCCACACUGGAACUGAGACACGGUCCAGACUCCUACGGGAGGCAGCAGUGGGGAAUAUUGGACAAUGGGCGCAGGCCUGAUCCAGCCAUACCGCGUGGGUGAAGAAGGCCUUCGGGUUGUAAAGCCCUUUUGUUGGGAAAGAAAAGCAGCAGGUUAAUACCCCGCUGUUCUGACGGUACCCAAAGAAUAAGCACCGGCUAACUUCGUG
rnacentral:rRNA from 1 species